GACGAACGCUGGCGGCGUGCUUAACACAUGCAAGUCGAACGGAAAGGCCCUGCUUUUGUGGGGUGCUCGAGUGGCGAACGGGUGAGUAACACGUGAGUAACCUGCCCUUGACUUUGGGAUAACUUCAGGAAACUGGGGCUAAUACCGGAUAGGAGCUCCUGCUGCAUGGUGGGGGUUGGAAAGUUUCGGCGGUUGGGGAUGGACUCGCGGCUUAUCAGCUUGUUGGUGGGGUAGUGGCUUACCAAGGCUUUGACGGGUAGCCGGCCUGAGAGGGUGACCGGCCACAUUGGGACUGAGAUACGGGCCAGACUGCUACGGGAGGCAGCAGUGGGGAAUAGUGCACAAUGGGCGGAAGCCUGAUGCAGCAACGCCGCGUGCGGGAUGACGGCCUUCGGGUUGUAAACCGCUUUCGCCUGGGACGAAGCGUGAGUGACGGUAAUGGGUAAAGAAGCACCGGCUAACUACGUG
rnacentral:rRNA from 1 species